AAUAGAUACCCGGGUAGUCCACGCCGUAAACGAUGAGUGCUAAGUGUUAGAGGGUUUCCGCCCUUUAGUGCUGCAGCUAACGCAUUAAGCAUUCCGCCUGGGGAGUACGGCCGCAAGGCUGAAACUCAAAGGAAUUGACGGGGGCCCGCACAAGCGGUGGAGCAUGUGGUUUAAUUCGAAGCAACGCGAAGAACCUUACCAGGUCUUGACAUCCUCUGCCAACCCUAGAGAUAGGGCGUUCCCCUUCGGGGGACAGAGUGACAGGUGGUGCAUGGUUGUCGUCAGCUCGUGUCGUGAGAUGUUGGGUUAAGUCCCGCAACGAGCGCAACCCUUGAUCUUAGUUGCCAGCAUUCAGUUGGGCACUCUAAGGUGACUGCCGGUGACAAACCGGAGGAAGGUGGGGAUGACGUCAAAUCAUCAUGCCCCUUAUGACCUGGGCUGCACACGUGCUACAAUGGAUGGUACAAAGAGCUGCGAACCCGCGAGGGUAAGCGAAUCUCAUAAAGCCAUUCUCAGUUCGGAUUGUAGG
rnacentral:rRNA from 1 species